UGAGAUAUAAUUUAAAACAAUAAACCAGAAAAUAUUUAUGAAUCAUAAAGGUGAUGUGUGAUACUAAAAAUAAACUAAAUCGCAAAUACUAAAAAUUCCACGGUCAAAUAUCUGUUCCACUCCUUUUUAUAUCUAUAAUUAAAUAGAUAGUUGUAAAUGUAUAAUUUUAUAUAAUUAUUACUUUUGAACAUAUAAUUUUAAAUAUUUUAAUUAUUGAAUUACUUACAUAUUAUUAAAUUAAUAAAAUAUAAAAUCUCUAUUAAAACUAAAAUUUUAUGUUUUAUGAAAUAAUAAUUAAUUUUUAAAAUUUAUAGAACAUAUAGUUUCACUAUUAUUUUCUUUUUUUUUAUGAUAUGUAAACGAUAUUUUUAUGAAAGCAAACUUGUAUAAUUUUUUUUAUAGAUUUAUUUGUAUUAAAUUAUAUGGACGAAAUAUUCGUAAAUAUCUAUAAUUUUUUUUGCAUAUUUGUAUUUUUCGAAACAAAGCAAAUAAAAAAUCAAAUAUCUGUAAACUAUAAAAUAAAUCAUAAAUACUGAAAAUUAUUGUAUUAUCCGGAGCUCGGUACCCACCCCUAGUCCAGCCCACUGUACAGUAUUCUGCCAGCUAAUAUAUAUAAUACCCUAAAUAGCAAAUAAUAACAAAAGAAACUUUGACUGUCAUGCAAAAACAAUAUACCUAGUCAACUCCAUAAAUGUGAAUAUAUAUACAUACAAUAUAUUUUAAUACUUCUCUUACCCAAUAUAAAAAUAUUUUACCAAAUAUGGAAGAUUUUAUUACUGUAAAUUAAGUGCAGGGUUGAAAAUUGAGACUUUCCUUGCGAAAAGAGUUCUAUAAAAAAGAACAAUUCUUCACGGUUGACCAGAAACAAUAGAAUAGAACAAAUUUUAUUCGUAGUACAAUACUCUAAAACUACACAUAAUGGGUAUCACUAGAAUCUCUCUAACUCUGUCUCUGCUAAUAGUAUUAGCAAUUUCAAUGUCUUACAACAACGUUUCGGCCGUGUCAGUGAUCGAACCAGCCAAAUUACCUACCCGUUGUUUUCACCAAUGUGGUGGAAUCUAUGAUGAUCACGCAUGCUUCACUGACUGCAUACCCAAAGGGUACGAUCAUGGAAUGUGUAGGAAUGGUCGUUGCUGUUGCUUCAAUGAUAAUUGAUCAUACUCUCGAUAUUUGGCGAGUUGGAUUUAAGAUUUAAAAAUAUUUACUAUUUUAUCGUAGUUGUUCUGGGUAAUGAAAUAAAAACAUGAUUUAUUAAA